rnacentral:lncRNA from 1 species
UCGCUCUUCCUUCUCUGUUAUCAACUCUGUCAAGCAAGAAAGAAAAGAUAGAAUCCCCAAACGCUUAAAACCGACAUGCAAAGAGACCCUCUAGAGUCAUGAUCAAAGGACAAGACGUGCAUGCAUCAGCCAACAGAACAAAGACAUGCAAAAAAACCCUCUAGAGUCAUGAUAAAAGGACAAGACGUGCAUGCAUCAGCCAACAGAACAAAGAAAGUUUGUAUUUUGUUCCUUCUUUUGCUUGUUGGGCUCAGCUUUAUUUCCACUUUCUUUCUUGUUUUUGUUUUGUUUUAUGCUCUGGUCUUGUGUCCUUGCUUAGUACUAAGCUCUCAGAAAAACUGGUUUAUCAGAAAAAUAGCAAUCUCCAACUUCACUGGCGGCUCCGAGACCUUCAAAUAGUAGCCAAGUUCUGCUAUGGCAUCAAGAUCGAGGUGGUGGAGUUCACUGGGUUGGGGAGAUUGGGCCGUGUGUGG